rnacentral:tRNA from 1 species
AGUCCAGGGAUCUGUAACGACCUAAUUCGAAUUUGCACUUCGAGCUCUCUGGGCU